rnacentral:rRNA from 1 species
GACGAACGCUGGCGGCGUGCUUAACACAUGCAAGUCGAACGGUGAAGCGCCUUCCUUUUUGGUGGGUGUGGAUGAGUGGCGAACGGGUGAGUAACACGUGAGUAACCUGCCCCCUUCUUCUGGAUAACCGCAUGAAAGUGUGGCUAAUACGGGAUAUUCUGGGUCUGUCGCAUGAUGGGUCUGGGAAAGAUAUUGUUUCGGUGGGGGAUGGGCUCGCGGCCUAUCAGCUUGUUGGUGGGGUGAUGGCCUACCAAGGCGGUGACGGGUAGCCGGCCUGAGAGGGUGGACGGUCACACUGGGACUGAGACACGGCCCAGACUCCUACGGGAGGCAGCAGUGGGGAAUAUUGCACAAUGGGCGCAAGCCUGAUGCAGCGACGCCGCGUGAGGGAUGGAGGCCUUCGGGUUGUGAACCGCUUUCGCCAGUGAAGCAGGCCUGCCUCGUUUGUGGGUGGGUUGACGGUAGCUGGAUAAGAAGCGCCGGCUAACUACGUG